UACGAAGGGGGCUAGCGUUGCUCGGAAUCACUGGGCGUAAAGCGCACGUAGGCGGCAUUUUAAGUCAGGGGUGAAAUCCUGGAGCUCAACUCCAGAACUGCCUUUGAUACUGAGAGGCUUGAGUCCGGGAGAGGUGAGUGGAACUGCGAGUGUAGAGGUGAAAUUCGUAGAUAUUCGCAAGAACACCAGUGGCGAAGGCGGCUCACUGGCCCGGUACUGACGCUGAGGUGCGAAAGCGUGGGGAGCAAACAGG
rnacentral:rRNA from 1 species